CGGGAGAUGGCUGAGUGGUCGAAAGCGGCGGUCUUGAAAACCGUUGAGGGUCAAACCUCCAGGGGUUCGAAUCCCUUUCUCCCGGCCA
rnacentral:tRNA from 1 species